GGAUGAACGCCGGCGGUGUGCCUAAUACAUGCAAGUCGUACGCACUGGCCCAACUGAUUGAUGGUGCUUGCACCUGAUUGACGAUGGAUCACCAGUGAGUGGCGGACGGGUGAGUAACACGUAGGUAACCUGCCCCGGAGCGGGGGAUAACAUUUGGAAACAGAUGCUAAUACCGCAUAACAACAAAAGCCACAUGGCUUUUGUUUGAAAGAUGGCUUUGGCUAUCACUCUGGGAUGGACCUGCGGUGCAUUAGCUAGUUGGUAAGGUAACGGCUUACCAAGGCGAUGAUGCAUAGCCGAGUUGAGAGACUGAUCGGCCACAAUGGAACUGAGACACGGUCCAUACUCCUACGGGAGGCAGCAGUAGGGAAUCUUCCACAAUGGGCGCAAGCCUGAUGGAGCAACACCGCGUGAGUGAAGAAGGGUUUCGGCUCGUAAAGCUCUGUUGUUGGAGAAGAACGUGCGUGAGAGUAACUGUUCACGCAGUGACGGUAUCCAACCAGAAAGUCACGGCUAACUACGUGCCAGCAGCCGCGGUAAUACGUAGGUGGCAAGCGUUAUCCGGAUUUAUUGGGCGUAAAGCGAGCGCAGGCGGUUGCUUAGGUCUGAUGUGAAAGCCUUCGGCUUAACCGAAGAAGUGCAUCGGAAACCGGGCGACUUGAGUGCAGAAGAGGACAGUGGAACUCCAUGUGUAGCGGUGGAAUGCGUAGAUAUAUGGAAGAACACCAGUGGCGAAGGCGGCUGUCUGGUCUGCAACUGACGCUGAGGCUCGAAAGCAUGGGUAGCGAACAGGAUUAGAUACCCUGGUAGUCCAUGCCGUAAACGAUGAGUGCUAGGUGUUGGAGGGUUUCCGCCCUUCAGUGCCGGAGCUAACGCAUUAAGCACUCCGCCUGGGGAGUACGACCGCAAGGUUGAAACUCAAAGGAAUUGACGGGGGCCCGCACAAGCGGUGGAGCAUGUGGUUUAAUUCGAAGCUACGCGAAGAACCUUACCAGGUCUUGACAUCUUGCGCUAACCUUAGAGAUAAGGCGUUCCCUUCGGGGACGCAAUGACAGGUGGUGCAUGGUCGUCGUCAGCUCGUGUCGUGAGAUGUUGGGUUAAGUCCCGCAACGAGCGCAACCCUUGUUACUAGUUGCCAGCAUUAAGUUGGGCACUCUAGUGAGACUGCCGGUGACAAACCGGAGGAAGGUGGGGACGACGUCAGAUCAUCAUGCCCCUUAUGACCUGGGCUACACACGUGCUACAAUGGACGGUACAACGAGUCGCAAGCUCGCGAGAGUAAGCUAAUCUCUUAAAGCCGUUCUCAGUUCGGACUGUAGGCUGCAACUCGCCUACACGAAGUCGGAAUCGCUAGUAAUCGCGGAUCAGCAUGCCGCGGGUGAAUACGUUCCCGGGCCUUGUACACACCGCCCGUCACACCAUGGGAGUUUGUAACGCCCAAAGUCGGUGGCCUAACCUUUAUGGAGGGAGCCGCCU
rnacentral:rRNA from 2 species